AGAAGUUGUUGUACCAGCUGGAUGGUGAUGCAGAUCUCCUGGUCUGGAUUGGUCUGACUGACUCCGUUAAUGAGGGGACCUGGAAAUGGGUGGACGGCACACCACUGACCACAUCGUACUGGAAGAGUGGUCAGCCGGACCAUGGUGGUACCAACAACGAGGAGGAUUGUGUCGAGGUCUACCAUCGGGACAGCGUUUUGGCCAACUGGAACGAUGCACCGUGCAACCACAUGCUGCACUGGAUCUGUGAGAAAUGACAGAAAUAGCUAUACAGUAUAGGUCAAAUCCACAUCUUGUUUAAAUGUGUUUAUUUUAUUGUUGCACAUUAACAUUUUCCCUAAGAUUGUGUAAUUAACUGAGCACGUGCAUUACACGCUACAUGGUAAUAUCUGUCUGUCUUUCAGCUGUAAUUCAUUUUUGCCAAUAGAUUAUUGGCAGCCUUUUGGAUCAGUCACAAUACUG